GUAGGGAAUAUUGGGCAAUGGAGGCAACUCUGACCCAGCCAUGCCGCGUGCAGGAUGACGGCCCUCUGGGUUGUAAACUGCUUUUAUACGGGAAGAAAAAAUACUACGUGUAGUAUACUGACGGUACCGUAAGAAUAAGGAUCGGCUAACUCCGUGCCAGCAGCCGCGGUAAUACGGAGGAUCCAAGCGUUGUCCGGAUUUAUUGGGUUUAAAGGGUGCGUAGGCGGAUCUUUAAGUCAGUGGUGAAAGCCGGCAGCUUAACUGUAGAAUUGCCAUUGAAACUGAAGAUCUUGAAUGUGGUUAAAGUAGGCGGAAUGUAUCAUGUAGCGGUGAAAUGCUUAGAUAUGAUACAGAACACCGAUAGCGAAGGCAGCUUGCUGAACCAUUAUUGACGCUGAGGCACGAAAGCGUGGGGAGCGAACAGGAUUAGAAACCCUUGUAGUCC
rnacentral:rRNA from 1 species